CACCGCGGUUAUACGAGAGGCCCAAGAUGAUAGACUCUCGGCGUAAAGAGUGGUUAAAACUUAUCUUAACUAAAGCCAAACUAUCUCAAAACUGUCAUACGCUCUUGAGAAUAGGAACACCCCCUACGAAAGUGGCUUUAUUUCAUUGAACCCACGAAAGCUAAGGUA
rnacentral:rRNA from 1 species